UACGGGGGGGGCAAGCGUUGUUCGGAAUUACUGGGCGUAAAGGCUCGUAGGUGGCCAACUAAGUCAGACGUGAAAUCCCUCGGCUUAACCGGGGAACUGCGUCUGAUACUGGAUGGCUUGAGUUCGGGAGAGGGAUGCGGAAUUCCAGGUGUAGCGGUGAAAUGCGUAGAUAUCUGGAGGAACACCGGUGGCGAAGGCGGCAUCCUGG
rnacentral:rRNA from 1 species